AGGACGAACGCUGGCGGCGUGCUUAACACAUGCAAGUCAAGGGGGAGUCGCAAGACUCAACCGGCGAACGGGUGCGUAACACGUGAGCGACCUACCUAAUUGUGGGGGAUAGCCGGCCCAACGGCCGGGUAAUACCGCAUACGAUCGGAGAGGGGCAUCCCUUUCUGAGGAAAGCCUUCGGGCGCAAUUUGAGGGGCUCGCGGCCUAUCAGCUAGUUGGCGGGGUAACGCCCACCAAGGCGACGACGGGUAGCUGGUCUGGGAGGAUGGCCAGCCACAUUCGGGACUGGAGAUACGGCCCAGACUCCGUACGGGAGGCAGCAGGUGGGAAUAGUUGCGCAAUGGCCGAAAGGCUGACGCGAGCGACGCCGCGUGCGGAUCGACG
rnacentral:rRNA from 1 species